AAUUUUGGACAUUGGGGGAAACCCUGCCCCACCCAUCCCGCGUGUAUGUUGAAGCCUUCCGGGUGGCAAAGUACUGUUGGCAGGGAAGAAAAGGUAGCACAUAAUACGGAAUACGGCUGACGGUCUCUGCUGAAUAACUACCGACUACCUACGUGCCAGCAGCCGCUGUAAUAAGUAGGGUGCAAGCAUUAAUCGGAAUUACUGGGAGUAAAGCGUGUGUAGGCGGUUCGGAAAGAAAGAUGUGAAAUCCCAGGGCUCGACCUUGGAACUACAUUUUUAACUGCCGGGGUAGAGUAUGUCAGAAGGGGGUAAAAGUCCACGUGUAGCAGUGAAAUGCGUAGAUAUGUGGAGGAAUACCGAUGGCGAAGGCAGCCCCCUGGGAUAGUACUGACGCUCAGACACGAAAGCGUGGGGAGCAAGCAGG
rnacentral:rRNA from 1 species